rnacentral:lncRNA from 1 species
GGAUGGUCCUAUAAAGAGAAUCAGCUCUAGACUGCUUUAUUUCCACUGAACAGGAAUGGGUUAGAGUGGGUGGUGACAGAAAAUAAGAGUGGCAUUGAGUCUGCAACAGAGGUAUGGAUCAGAAUGGAGAGCCCUGUUUCUCCCUUUGUUCUGAGAUUCACAAACAGAGGGGACUUAGUCCUGAGAAAGUGGGUA